AGUUAUGACCAAACCAGCUGGAAUGCACUUUAUUUUGUCAAAUCUCGGAAGCUAAGCAGGCAUGACCCUGGAUAGUUCUUGGAUGGGUGACCAUCCCUCACAGCAACAAGUUGCUAUAGGCU
rnacentral:rRNA from 1 species